rnacentral:rRNA from 1 species
UACGAAGGGGGCUAGCGUUGCUCGGAUUGACUGGGCGUAAAGGGCGCGUAGGCGGUUCGUACAGUCAGACGUGAAAUUCCUGGGCUCAACCUGGGAACUGCGUCUGAUACUGGAUGGCUUGAGUUCGGGAGAGGGAUGCGGAAUUCCAGGUGUAGCGGUGAAAUGCGUAGAUAUCUGGAGGAACACCGGUGGCGAAGGCGGCAUCCUGGACCGACACUGACACUGAGGAGCGAAAGCCAGGGGAGCAAACAGG